rnacentral:rRNA from 1 species
CUACGGGCCGCUGCAGUGGAGAAUCUUGCACAAUGGGGGAAACCCUGAUGCAGCAACGCCGCGUGAAGGAAGAAGGCCCUUGGGUCGUAAACUUCUGUUCUAAGGGAAGAUAAUGACGGUACCUUAGGAGCAAGUCCCGGCUAACUACGUGCCAGCAGCCGCGGUAAUACGUAGGGGGCGAGCGUUAUCCGGAAUUAUUGGGCGUAAAGAGUACGUAGGCGGUUUAUUAAGCAUGGGGUUUAAGGCAACAGCUCAACUGUUGUUCGCCCCAUGAACUGAUUAACUUGAGUGCUGGAGGGGAAAGCGGAAUUACUAGUGUAGCGGUGAAAUGCGUAGAUAUUAGGAGGAACACCAGUGGCGAAGGCGGCUUUCUGGACAGUAACUGACGCUGAGGUACGAAAGUGUGGGGAGCAAACAGGAUUAGAUACCCGCGUAGUC